rnacentral:hammerhead_ribozyme from 1 species
GUACUGCUGAAGAGUCCCAUAUUAGGACGAAACAGUUGUCCAGUAC